CCUUUGACGUUAGCGGCGGACGGGUGAGUAACACGUGGGUAACCUACCUAUAAGACUGGGAUAACUUCGGGAAACCGGAGCUAAUACCGGAUAAUAUUCGAACCGCAUGGUUCGAUAGUGAAAGAUGGUUUUGCUAUCACUUAUAGAUGGACCCGCGCCGUAUUAGCUAGUUGGUAAGGUAACGGCUUACCAAGGCGACGAUACGUAGCCGACCUGAGAGGGUGAUCGGCCACACUGGAACUGAGACACGGUCCAGACUCCUACGGGAGGCAGCAGGC
rnacentral:rRNA from 1 species